rnacentral:rRNA from 1 species
UGGGGAAUUUUGGACAAUGGGCGAAAGCCUGAUCCAGCAAUGCCGCGUGUGUGAAGAAGGCCUUCGGGUUGUAAAGCACUUUUGUCCGGAAAGAAAUCCUUGGCUCUAAUACAGUCGGGGGAUGACGGUACCGGAAGAAUAAGCACCGGCUAACUACGUGCCAGCAGCCGCGGUAAUACGUAGGGUGCAAGCGUUAAUCGGAAUUACUGGGCGUAAAGCGUGCGCAGGCGGUUUGCUAAGACCGAUGUGAAAUCCCCGGGCUCAACCUGGGAACUGCAUUGGUGACUGGCAGGCUAGAGUAUGGCAGAGGGGGGUAGAAUUCCACGUGUAGCGGUGAAAUGCGUAGAGAUGUGGAGGAAUACCGAUGGCGAAGGCAGCCCCCUGGGCCAAUACUGACGCUCAUGCACGAAAGCGUGGGGAGCAAACAGGAUUAGAUACCCUGGUAGUCCACGCCCUAAACGAUGUCAACUAGUUGUUGGGGAUUCAUUUCCUUAGUAACGUAGCUAACGCGUGAAGUUGACCGCCUGGGGAGUACGGUCGCAAGAUUAAAACUCAAAUGAAUUGACGGGGUCAUAGCUGUUUCCU